UACGUAGGGUGCGAGCGUUGUCCGGAAUUAUUGGGCGUAAAGAGCUCGUAGGCGGUUUGUUGCGUCGACUGUGAAAACCCGCGGCUCAACCGUGUGGUCUGCAGUCGAUACGGGCAGGCUAGAGUUCGGUAGGGGAGACUGGAAUUCCUGGUGUAGCGGUGAAAUGCGCAGAUAUCAGGAAGAACACCCGUGGCGAAAGCGGCUCUCUGGGACGGUACUGACGCUGAGACGCGAAAGCGUGGGGAGCGAACAGG
rnacentral:rRNA from 1 species